GUGGUCAGGUCGAUGGUUAUUGGGCGGCGGGUUGCAGGCUCGCCUGGCACUAACGGAGGAGGGACUGUCAGAGGUGCGUGCCAUCUUGCCCAAG
rnacentral:tRNA from 1 species